UCUUUUAGAUUUAAAUUAAAAGUCGAAUCUGCUCAAUGAUUAAUUUUAAAUAGCUGCAGUAUACUGACUGUACAAAGGUAGCAUAAUCAAUAGUUUUUUAAUUAAAAGCUGGAAUGAAUGAUUUGAUAAGGUAAAUAUUGUUUCAAAUUUAAUGAAAUUAUAAUUUUUAUUUUAGUUAAAAUACUAAAUGGAAUUUAAAAGACGAGAAGACCCUAUAGAUUUUUAUAAUUUUAUUUUUAUUAAUAAAAAUAAAAAUAACAGAUAAAAUUAAAAUUAUUUGGUUGGGGAAAUUAUUAAAUUAAGUAAAUUUUAAUUAGUUAAUAACAAUAAUUAUUGAAUAUUUGAUCCUAUAAUUUAGAAUAUAAGAUUAAAAUACCUUAGGGAUAACAGCGUAAUAUUUUUAGAGAGAUCUUAUUGAUAAAAAAGUUUGCGACCUCGAUGUUGAAUUAAGAUAAAAUUUUAUUGGAGAAAAUAAAAAUUUUUGGUCUGUUCGACCAUUAAAAUCUUACGU
rnacentral:rRNA from 1 species